rnacentral:rRNA from 1 species
GACGAACGCUGGCGGCGUGCUUAACACAUGCAAGUCGAACGGAAAGGCCCUGCUUGCAGGGUACUCGAGUGGCGAACGGGUGAGUAACACGUGGGUGAUCUGCCCUGCACUUCGGGAUAAGCCUGGGAAACUGGGUCUAAUACCGGAUAGGAGCCAUUUUUAGUGUGAUGGUUGGAAAGUUUUUUCGGUGUAGGGUGAGCUCGCGGCCUAUCUGCUUGUUGGUGGGGUAAUGGCCUACCAAGGCGGCGGCGGGUAGCCGGCCUGGGUGGGUGGACGGCCACAAUGGGGCCGAGGUUAGGCCCAGACACCGACGGGAGGGAACAGGGGGGAAGAAUGCAAAAUGGGCGCGAGCCUGAUGCAGCGACGCCGCGUGGGGGAUGACGGCCUUCGGGUUGGAAACCCCUUUCGCUAGGGACGAAGCUGUUUGUGACGGUACCUAGAGAAGAAGCACCGGCUAACUACGUG